UUGCACUGAUGAUAGCAGAUGUGACUGACCUGGCAUUGCCGGCCUCCGGGUCGGCCCUGGCCAGGAUAUGACCUCAGUUAAUCUUCUCGCUGAGCCG
ensembl:snoRNA